GACGUAGGGGGCGAGCGUUAUCCGGAUUUACUGGGCGUAAAGGGCGCGUAGGCGGGACCGUUUGCCAUGCGUGAAAGGGGGAGGCUUAACCUCUCUAUGGGCGUGGAACGGCGGUCCUAGGGGCAAGCAGAGGAAGGUGGAAUUCCGGGUGGAGUGGUGAAAUGCGUAGAGAUCCGGAGGAACACCAGGGGCGAAGGCGGCCUUCUGGGCUUGACCCGACGCUGAGGCGCGAAAGCGUGGGGAGCGAACUGAAUUAGAUACUCAGGUAGUCCACGCCCUCAACGAUGGACACGAGGCGUGGGGGGUAUCGACCCCCUCCGUGCCGGCGCUAACGCAGGAAGUGUCCCGCCUGGGGAGUACGGCCGCAAGGCUAAA
rnacentral:rRNA from 1 species